AGAGCUCUGAGAUGUUAUUGAUUGCUCUGAAAAAACGUUUUGAUAUGCUGCGUUAGCGUUUUAGAAAGCCGCUCAGUGUUGCUAAAUAAAGCGAGAGAAAAAGCUUUAUGACAAAUUGAAAACCAGUUUGAAUCGUCAAUCGGCAAAGAAGAACCUGAAGGAAACCAAAGUCAAAGACUUUCUGCAAAAAUGGGUGUCAAUGUUGUUGUUGAAAAGCAGAAGCGACGACCACGUUCAGUUCAGUUAAACAGGUUUUUCAGGUGGCGAAGAGAGGCAAGAGGGGGGAAACGUUCUACAGCAGUACCGUUAACUAAGGCGGUCAACAUAACGGUUUUGGAGCGUAGAUUCUGGUGUUCUGCCAUUUCCGCGAUUCUUCUUUUGCGGUUCGCUUUGUUCUUAACUUUCUUUUCAUUUAAGCCAAGCUCUCGAGUUGGAGCAGUGCAGAGCAGACGCUAUGGAAGCCAAGGCAGUUUUGGCCAAUUACAUAUUUGCGUUGCACAUUUCUCUCUCUCUCUCUCUCUCCCUCUCUUUCUUUCUCGCUCUUACUCUGUGUGUUUGACCUAAUUCUUGAACUCUCUUUACCGUUACUUGGUUGGCAUGUUCUGUUCCAUGUUAUUACCGAGAGGUGAGGCUUUUGACCAAGCUUUGGUUGCCUUUUUUUUGCGGCUUUGUGCUUUCUGCGGUUGGAGUUGCUGCAAAUCUGCUGUUGCCUGUUUGUAUUACUUGAUUCGCUGUUGCUGUUUUGUUUUGGUUUAACACUUUUGACCUUAAUACUCAUAGCUAAAGAAAGACCUCACUUGGGCAUUUUUCCUCUACCCGUUUUUCUCACAGCGCUUUACACAAAAUUGUUUUUCUCUUAUUUUCACAAAAACACUAAUUUCCAACCUUAUAUUCCUGCAUUAUCUAAGCUAUACCUUUGUUUGUCCUGUUUUUGGGGAAAAUUGAGAUACUUGUCAAAGCCUCUUUUCAAGGCAUUGCAAUGAAGUCUAUAGACUUAAAUUUUCAUGAAUUCAGAAUAAUUCUCUGUGAGAUUCUUCGUCUUUUUGUAUAUAGUACUUGUAUUUUAUUGACUAUUUGUCAUUUUGCUAGAGACUGUUCACAAAGUUUAUUUCACAUCUGCCAAAUUCAGACGAACACACCCCUUCUUUUGCCUCCUCUUUCAACAAACUAACAGCAAAUUUAUCAACAAACUGUCAACGAGACGAGUGUGAAAAUCGCGACAUGAAGAAAAAUGGAAAUAGAAACUAAGAUAAAAAUAAAAAUAACAGAAAAAUGAAAAACUACAAAAGCCAUAAAGACUUUGGAAUUUUCACCAGGUAGAGAGAUGACCCAUUGAUGUUCAGUUGAUGCUGCGCCGCCGCCUUCCUCCUCUACACCCCGCCGACACCCCUCGGAAAUUGCGGUCAGCCAGUGGGCGUUUUAAGCAACUUGCUUUUGGUGGCAACUAAAUCGAAAGCCGUCCCGUCAAGCAGUCAGUCAAUCAGAGGAGCUUUUGAUUUGACAGUGCGUUGGGGAGAGAAAAUAAAAUGAGAUUUGAAAAAAAAAUCAUAAUUUUCAUUGCCAUCAGUUUCACAUACUGGCAAUUGGCUGUUUAGGAAAAAAAAAACUGGGUUAACAUUUAUUGUUUAUGUUGUUUACUUGUGUUGAUUUCGGUGUAGUCUUUUGCACAUUUUGUGUGCGCUUCUUUGUUCAUUGUUUAUUUUGGUUUUGCCUUGAAUGUGAGUCAGGUUGGAGAGAGGUGUUGUUUUUUAUUUGUAACCACACAAACCGUUAGAAAACCUAGAAGAAGAAGCAAGAAACGUGCGUCUAAUGAAUGAUGAGAUCCCUUGUGAACAAAUGGGCAAAAGUACCGAGCUUAAGAAACCAGGUCAGAAUUGCAUGAGAAUAAGAAGAAAGUACGUGAGUUUUCUGUAGCCUAGAUUUUACUGGAAAUACGAGACGCGAAAGAAAGUUAAUCAUACAAAUAGUAAGAGUUUCUGUGUCAGAAACAGCAUCAGAGGUGAAAAUCACAAUCUAUAGGAAAAGGUUAUUCGCUCACUUUUUGCACAUAUGCUUUUGGGGUCAAUAUUGCUGACUGAAAUUCAAUUGGGCAAAUCGUGGCUAAUCAUGUGAGCUGCCUAUCACUUUAGAAAGGUUUUUCAUCACGCAUGUGGAAAGCAAAGCAGAAAAAAUCUUUUGGAUUGUAAGCAUAAAUAUCAUUUGGAAAGCAAUCAAUAAACUAAAACAAAUGAAAGUCGAAAAGUUGAGAGUGCAACACAAAACAAGGAAAAGAACGCCACAAAAAAAAACAAAAGCCGCAUAAGUAAAUGAACUUGUUCAAGAAAGUCGACGUCGCAAAACACGUUCCAGAGAAAAAGAAUGUUUUUUAACGGGAAUAAACAAUCAAAAGGCAAAAAUUGCCAUUUAUGGAUGUCAUAUGUUUAGCAUGUAAACAACAACUAAAGAAGAAGACGAAGAAGAAUCGCUUGCGGGGUAAGUUUCCAGCAGAGAAAUAAAACAAUAGCUAAAGCCAGAUGUGCACUUGGAAUAUAAAUUAAGAAACCAACCUCAAGCAUAAGUA